rnacentral:rRNA from 1 species
UACGUAGGGUGCAAGCGUUGUCCGGAAUUAUUGGGCGUAAAGAGCUCGUAGGCGGUUUGUCGCGUCGAAUGUGAAAACCCGGGGCUCAACCCCGGGCCUGCAUUCGAUACGGGCAGACUAGAGUUCGGUAGGGGAGUCUGGAAUUCCUGGUGUAGCGGUGAAAUGCGCAGAUAUCAGGAGGAACACCGGUGGCGAAAGGCGGGACUCUGGGCCGAUACUGACGCUGAGGAGCGAAAGCGUGGGGAGCAAACAGG